UGGGUAAUCUUUGAACGUGAAUCGUGCUGGGGAUAGAUGAUUGCAAUUAUUCAUCUUCAACGAGGAAUUCCUAGUAAACGCAAGUCAUCAGCUUGCAUUGAUUACGUCCCUGCCCUUUGUACACACCGCCCGUCGCACCUACCGACUGAAUGGUCCGGUGAAAUCUUCGGAUCUGAGAGAUGUUGGAUUAAUUUCUGACGCCUUUUAGAAAAGUCGCUUAAACCUUAUCAUUUAGAGGAAGGUGAAGUCGUAACAAGGUUUCCGUAGGUGAACCUGCGGAAGGAUCAUUA
rnacentral:rRNA from 1 species